ACGCCGCGUGAGUGAUGAAGGCGGAUCGUAAAGCUCUGUUGUUAGGGAAGAACAAGUGCCGUUCAAAUAGGGCGGCACCUUGACGGUACCUAACCAGAAAGCCACGGCUAACUACGUGCCAGCUUCCGCGGUAAUACGUAGGUGGCAAGCGUUGUCCGGAAUUAUUGGGCGUAAAGGGCUCGCAGGCGGUUUCUUAAGUACUGAUGUGAAAACACCCGGCUCAACCGGGGAGGGUCAUUUUGAAACUGGGGAACCUCAAUGCAAAAGAGG
rnacentral:rRNA from 1 species